rnacentral:rRNA from 1 species
GAUGAACGCUAGCGGCAGGCUUAAUACAUGCAAGUCGUGGGGCAGCAUGAGUGUAGCAAUACAUUUGAUGGCGACCGGCAAACGGGUGCGGAACACGUACACAACCUUCCUAUAAGUGGGGAAUAGCCCAGAGAAAUUUGGAUUAAUACCCCGUAACAUAACGAUGUGGCAUCACAUUGUUAUUAUAGCUUCGGCGCUUAUUGAUGGGUGUGCGGCUGAUUAGAUAGUUGGCGGGGUAACGGCCCACCAAGUCUACGAUCAGUAGCUGAUGUGAGAGCAUGAUCAGCCACACGGGCACUGAGACACGGGCCCGACUCCUACGGGAGGCAGCAGUAAGGAACAUUGGUCAAUGGACGCAAGUCUGAACCAGCCAUGCCGCGUGAAGGAUUAAGGUCCUCUGGAUUGUAAACUUCUUUUAUCUGGGACGAAAAAAGGCUUUUCUAAGUCACUUGACGGUACCAGAUGAAUAAGCACCGGCUAACUCCGUGCCAGCCGCCGCGGUAACAC